AGUGGCGCAAUUGGUAGCGCAACGGAUUCCAAAUCCGUAGGUUCGGGGUUCGAGUCCCUGC
rnacentral:tRNA from 1 species